AGACUCGGGGCCCCGCGCGCUUGCGCGCCGCCCGCUGCCCGCCGCCCGCCGCGGCUGGGAGUCCGGAGGUUUCAUCUUGUGAUGGUUUCGGUUCGGCUCUCAAAUGGAGGAUGGCUACGUUGAAGACAGCUGGGGCUGCCGCACGCCUCGGGGUUACUGUCGGGCACCCGGCGGGCGGGGCCGGCGCUGGGGCGGGGGAGGGCUUCCUCGCCCUCAGAAACCACAUUCGCAGAAACGUUUUUAACUGGCAAGGUUUCGAGUUCCCAACCACAGCACCCUCAGUGAUGGUUUUCAGAAGACCUUGUUAGCUCCUCUCCUCCAGAGACCCAUCCUUCGCUGACAUCCCACCGAUUUGGGAGCAGGAAAAAACAGACUCCUGCAAAAUACCUCUUCUUCCAGUGCCCUGUACCCCUCUCUACUUACUUCGAGUCCCUGCAGUCCAGCAACAACCCCAAACGAGUGAAGGGAGGAGACAUAGGUUUGUCCAGGCUCUGCCACCGACGGGUGAUUUGGGAUGAGUCCUUCUCCAGUAUCAUUAUCUUCAACUGUAAAACAUGAGGGUUAGUCCGAAUGAUCUCCAAACGCUUCAGCAUUAAAGAUACAGUGAGAAGGUACCAUCUAUGAAUCAGAAAGUGGGCCCUCAUCUGAACAUGACCAUGCUGGCACCACGAUCUUGGACUUCUCAGCCCCCAGAACUGUGAGCAACAAAUUUCUAUUGUUUAUAAAUUACCCAGCAUAAGAUAUUUUGGUAUGGCAGCCUGAAUGGACUGAGACACUAGGAAAAAGGAAGAGAGAGAAAGAUUAAGGAAUUCAGCAGGAGGCCAGAUCUUAAAAUGUGGACCUGGUCCAAGGCCUUAAAGAAUAGAGAUGACUGAUACUGAAUUUAAAAUUGAUUGGGUUCUGGGAGGCGGAGAUUGUGGUGAGCCGAGAUCUCACCAUUGCAUUCCAGCCUGGGCAACAAGAGCGAAACUCCAUCUCAAAAAAUAUAUAUAAAUAAAUAAAAUAAAAUUGACGGUUUUUUUGUAAUGUAAAACCUCCUUUUUUCCAAACUUUAAUAAAUGUCACUACAUACGUGAACGCCUCUA
rnacentral:lncRNA from 1 species